rnacentral:rRNA from 1 species
CCUACGGGAGGCAGCAGUGGGGAAUUUUGGACAAUGGGCGAAAGCCUGAUCCAGCAAUGCCGCGUGCAGGAAGAAGGCCUUCGGGUUGUAAACUGCUUUUGUACGGAACGAAACGGUCUGCUUUAAUACAGUGGGCUAAUGACGGUACCGUAAGAAUAAGCACCGGCUAACUACGUGCCAGCAGCCGCGGUAAUACGUAGGGUGCGAGCGUUAAUCGGAAUUACUGGGCGUAAAGCGUGCGCAGGCGGUUAUAUAAGACAGUUGUGAAAUCCCCGGGCUCAACCUGGGAAUUGCAUCUGUGACUGUAUAGCUAGAGUACGGUAGAGGGGGAUGGAAUUCCGCGUGUAGCAGUGAAAUACGUAGAUAUGCGGAGGAACACCGAUGGCGAAGGCAAUCCCCUGGACCUGUACUGACGCUCAUGCACGAAAGCGUGGGGAGCAAACAGGAUUAGAUACCCUGGUAGUCCACGCCCUAAACGAUGUCAACUGGUUGUUGGGUGCAUUAGUACUCAGUAACGAAGCUAACGCGUGAAGUUGACCGCCUGGGGAGUACGGCCGCAAGGUUGAAACUUAAAGGAAUUGACGG